GCAAGUUGAACGAAGUACAUUGAGUUUACUCGAUGUAACUUAGUAGCGGACGGGUGAGUAACGCGUGAGUAACCUACCUUUGUGAGGGGGACAACAGCUGGAAACGGCUGCUAAUACCGCAUAAGGCCACGGUACCGAUUGGUACAGUGGUAAAAGAUUUAUCGCACAAAGAUGGACUCGCGUCCCAUUAGCUAGUUGGUAAGGUAACGGCUUACCAAGGCGACGAUGGGUAGCCGACCUGAGAGGGUGAUC
rnacentral:rRNA from 1 species